UGGCUCAGACGGUAAAGCAUCUGCCUGCAAUGCAGGAGACUUGGGUUCGAUUCCUGG
rnacentral:tRNA from 1 species